rnacentral:lncRNA from 1 species
CUAGGCGGUGGCCUCUCCCAACCGUACUCAAGGUCACCACUUGCGUUUAAGGAGUCCAAUGAAAAAUUUAAGAGCAUAUCAUGAAGUUAUUUUAUGUGAUUUAAGAACCAAAAAUCAACACACAAUUGAGGGUCAAAAGGAGAACCUAUUUUUUAAGUUUUUAAGUGUCCUUUUCUUUCCAAUGUUGUGAGAAGCAAAGCAAAGCAACUAAGCUUAUUCUAUGGAGCCAAGCAAAAUUUCACUUUCAUGAAAUGCUUUGAGGCUAAAAGCAGAAACUAUAAAAGAGAAAUGAGGGGAUUACGACUUAGUUCUCUUUUGUUGGGAUUUGAUGUGAUCUACCAAACUCUUAUGCAAGCUCUUUGAUUUCAAUUUAUAUAUGAGUAUUCUCU